rnacentral:rRNA from 1 species
AUGCCAAUAUGCCAAGCCCAAACCCAUCCAGGCCCUGCUGGUGGGCUCAAAACUCAGGCCCAAGCCCGGCCCACGGGCAAGCCCAUCGGGCCUAAGCCCUGGAUUUUAGGGCCGGGCCUGGGUGUCAUGCGCGCGAGGUGGUCUCCCGUUUGGCCUCGUGCGACCCGGUCGUACCAGAUUUUUUUCCAGCGGGGAGGCGGACCCCGGGGAGGCUCAACCGCGAACGUCGCUCCUCCCGACGCCACGGGCGGCGACGACUCCGUUCCGGCCAGCAGCCCCCUCGACUCCUCCCUCCUCUCCCCGUCGCCGGUAGCCUCCGGCGGGCAAAGCCCGCUCGAAGCCGGCAGCGGUGGGACCCUUUCUCUCCGCCUCGUGGGGGCCGCCACGGGGAUCUCGCAGCUGAAGAUGCCCGGCGCGGUAGGGUUUGCGGCCUUGCCUACGGUGGUGCUGCCGGCGGCGUGGGUGUCUACGGUGGGUGGAUAUGCGGCGGUGGCGGCAGCCGAUGCGGGGGCUCGAUGCUCCAGAUCGGGCCGGUGUUGUCAGUGGCAGUGGAGGCUUCAUAGUGGUUGGCUGCGUGUGUGCCCAUUCUGGCCACAUCUGGCCGGCUGGGCUCGGCUGCGGUGGCUUUGGCGAGCGGUGUGCGACUCCGGGGAUGGACGACGGCGGUGCGGCAGAGCUCGCGUUUGGUGGUUGGUUCGGGGCGGCCAUUGCAUCAGGGGAGGUGGUGAGGGCAUCGGUGGUCAUCAGAGAGGAGGCGUCGGCUUCAGGUUGCCCUGCCGUCGCUCUGUGUCGUUGUCGCCCUCGCCGCCGCCUGCCUGGCCAGUCUACUGCGUCGCACAGGACACCAUGUUCUGGCCGCUCUUCGUCCUAAGACACAACUGCGGCCUUGUGAGCUUCCAACAACGCCAAACUGAACAGCGUCAACAGACACAUCCUCCACUCCUCCGGAUUAGCCACUGGACGCACCACCAGAACCAUGGCCACAUUGAGAAGGACGAGUCCUGGUAUCCGCUUCCCCAGAAGCUGUAUAGGAGCCUGGACAGUGCCACCCGGAAGCUUCGAUUUGCGCUACCGUUCCCAAUGCUCGUGUACCCAUUCUACUUGUGGUCGAGCAGUCCAGGGAAGUCAGGAUCGCAGUUACACCCGUGCAGCGAUUUGUUCCAGCUGAAUGAGAAGACGGAUGUGAUGGCUUGCCAUGGCUGA